GUUCCGCUAGUAUUCUUGAACAGAACUGGAGGGUUUGAGAAUGCUUCAUUGUACGUUGGUGAUCUUGAAAGGAAGGUGAAUGAGGCCCAGCUUUAUGAACCUCUCUAUCAGAUUGGCCACGUUAUUUCCGUCAGGGUUUGUAGGGAUCAGAUGACGCAGUCAUCUCUUGGUUAUGGCUAUGUCAACUUCUCCAACGCUCGUGAUGGAAGAAUAGUGUUGACAAAAAACAACGAAUUUCGAUGAUAAACCUUGUGUCCUCAGAUUCUGCUACAAAUGCCUCUUGGAUACGGGGAGAAGGCAUAAGAAGCUAUGAAGCACGGACACUCCUUGGAUAAGGCGUGUCUCCGUGUCAGACACGUGUCGUGUUGUGUCCGACAUCGACACGAUACCGACACAUAUAAUUGUACUGCAUU